rnacentral:rRNA from 1 species
AAUGAAGCGCCAUGGAGGGUGAGAGCCCCGUCCAUCCCGCACAGGAUCCAUUCGUACAAGGACGCUUCAACCGAGUCGGGUAGCUUGGGAAUGCUGCUCUAAUUGGUGGUAAAUCUCAUCAAAGGCUAAAUAGUGGUGGGAGACCGAUAGCGAACAAGUACCGUGAGGGAAAGAUGGAAAGAACUUUGAAAAGAGAGUGAAAAGCACUUGAAACCGUCACGGGGGAAGCGGAUUGCGUGAGUGAUGGUGUCGCUUGUUCAGCGCUUUAUUGCGUGCAUUCUGGCGGCGCCGUGCCGGCGUGGCUGGCUGGACUGUGAUUUUGACAGUCUCGGCUGGUGAGGGCUCCCUCGUAUGAGGUGAGGACGCGGGCAAAAUGACGCAAUACGACCCGUCUUGAAACACGGACCAAGGAGUCUAGCACGGCUGCGAGUCGAAGAGUGAUUAAACUCAAGGGCGCAGUGAAAGCGAAAUUAUAAGCAAAUUGGGGAGGCGUUGCGUUUUUAACAAAAUGUCCUACCUCGAGCAUUUGUGCUGGGACCCGAAAGAUGGUGAACUAUGCCGGAGUAGGGCAAAGCCAGAGGAAACUCUGGUGGAGGCUCGUAGCGAUGCUGACGUGCAAAUCGCUCGUCGAACUUGGGUAUAGGGGCGAAAGACUAAUCGAACCAUCUAGUAGCUGGUUCCCUCCGAAGUUUCUCUCAGGAUAGCGGGCCGACACGCGUUUGUUGUUUUGUGCGGUAAAGCGAAUGAUUAGUGCAUUUGGGGUACGAAGUACUUCGGGCGAUUCUCAAACUUUAAAUGCGCAAGGGGGUGGCUGCUUAAUUGAGCCUACUCUUUGAAAAACGUCGGCCCUGUGGGCCACUUUUGGUAAGCAG